rnacentral:sRNA from 1 species
UCGAACUGCACUGCCGGCAGCGCAGCCGC